rnacentral:rRNA from 1 species
UACAGAGGUCUCAAGCGUUGUUCGGAUUCAUUGGGCGUAAAGGGUGCGUAGGUGGCGCUGUAAGUCGGGUGUGAAAUUUCGGAGCUUAACUCCGAAACUGCAUUCGAUACUGCGGUGCUUGAGGACUGGAGAGGAGACUGGAAUUCAUGGUGUAGCAGUGAAAUGCGUAGAGAUCAUGAGGAAGACCAGUGGCGAAGGCGGGUCUCUGGACAGUUCCUGACGCUGAAGCACGAAGGUCAGGGGAGCAAACGGG